rnacentral:rRNA from 1 species
UGGCAAGUCUUCCAGUAUGGGGAGCAAAACAGCUAUGGGUCAAGUCCGAUAUCUUUAGGAGAAGUCUUAUUGUGAGGGCGAGUUAUAUAACACCAUAGGACUGGCCGUCCCAUAUGAAAAGAUUAUAUUAGAAUUGAAUGAAGCUUUGUUUAUAUAUUGAUAAUGACAGUAUAUAUAUCGUGUCUUGACUAAUUGCGUGCCAGCAGUCGCGGUAAUACGUAAGAGACUAGUGUUAUUCAUCUUAAUUAGGUUUAAAGGGUACCCAGACGGUCAAUAUAGCUUAUAAAAUGUUAGUACUUGACUAGAGUUUUAUGUAAGAGGGCAGUACUUGAGGAGGAGAGAUGAAAUUUCGUGAUACCAAAGGGACUCUGUAAAGGCGAAGGCAGCCCUCUAUGUAAAAACUGACGUUGAAGGACGAAGGCACAGAGAACAAACAGGAUUAGAUACCCAAGUAGUCUUUGCAGUAAAUGAUGAAUGCCAUAGGUUAGAUUGAUCAAUUAUAGUCUAGGGUUAGUCUAGCAAACUAAUGCCCUAUGAUAUAAUUCAAAAUAUCUGGUCUAUAAAUGAAAGUGUAAGCAUUUCACCUCAAGAGUAAUGUGGCAACGCAGGAAC